UGCUGGUAUGUUGACUGGCUCCUUUCUAAAUUGUCCUUAUAUGUAUACGAGAUAGGGACCUUAGAUUGUAAGCUCCUUGAGGGCAGGGACUGAUGUGAAUGUAUAACUAUGUAAAGCACUGCGUAAAUUGUCAGCGCUAUACAAAUACCAAUAAUACAUA